rnacentral:rRNA from 1 species
GACGAACGCUGGCGGCGUGCUUAACACAUGCAAGUCGAACGAAGUGGCGAACGGGUGAGUAAAGCGUAAUCAACCUGCCGUUCAGAGGGGGACAACAGUUGGAAACGACUGCUAAUACCGCAUACGGAAGGAGGGGAUUGCGUCGGAUUAGCUGGUUGGAGGGGUAACGGCCUACCAAGGCGAAGGGCAGUAGCCGGUCUGGAGGGGUGGACCGCCACAUUGGGACUGAGGCACGGGCCAGGCUCCUACGGGAGGCAGCAAUGGGGAAUCUUCCGCAAUGGGCGAAAGUCUGACGGAGCAACGGCGCGGGAGUGAUGACGGCCUUCUGGUUGGAAAGCUCUGUUAAUCGGGACGCGGUACCGGAAUAGAAAGCCACGGCUAACUACGUGCCAGCAGCCGCGGUAAUAC